GACGAACGCUGGCGGCGUGCUUAACACAUGCAAGUCGAACGGAAAGGCCCUGCUUUUGUGGGGUGCUCGAGUGGCGAACGGGUGAGUAACACGUGAGUAACCUGCCCUUGACUUUGGGAUAACUUCAGGAAACUGGGGCUAAUACCGGAUAGGAGCUCCUGCUGCAUGGUGGGGGUUGGAAAGUUUCGGCGGUUGGGGAUGGAUUCGCGGCUUAUCAGCUGGUUGGUGGGGUAGUGGCUUACCAAGGCUUUGACGGGUAGCCGGCCUGAGAGGGUGACCGGCCUCAUGGGGACUGAGAUACGGACCAGACUCCUACGGGAGGCAGCAGUGGGGAAUAUUGCACAAUGGGCGGAAGCCUGAUGCAGCAACGCCGCGUGCGGGAUGACGGCCUUCGGGUUGUAAACCGCUUUCGCCUGUGACGAAGCGUGAGUGACGGUAAUGGGUAAAGAAGCACCGGCUAACUACGUG
rnacentral:rRNA from 1 species